rnacentral:rRNA from 1 species
CCUACGGGGGGCAGCAGGCGCGAAAACUUUACAAUGCGGGAAACCGUGAUAAGGGAACCCCGAGUGCCUGUAUAUGCAGGCUGUCCAGGUGUCUAAAAAACACCUGAAGAAAGGGCCGGGCAAGACCGGUGCCAGCCGCCGCGGUAAUACCGGCGGCUCGAGUGGUGGCCACUUUUAUUGGGCUUAAAGCGUUCGUAGCUGGGUUGUUAAGUCUCUUGGGAAAUCUGACGGCUCAACCGUCAGGCGUCCAAGGGAUACUGGCAAUCUUGGAACCGGGAGAGGUGAGGGGUACUUCGGGGGUAGGAGUGAAAUCCUGUAAUCCUCGAGGGACCACCUGUGGCGAAGGCGCCUCACCAGAACGGCUUCGACAGUGAGGGACGAAAGCUGGGGGAGCAAACCGGAUUAGAUACCCGGGUAGUCC